ACCUAACUCUGCUAACUACUAACUGUCUUAACUUCUCAACACUCCCCCUCAAGUUGAGGGUUGAUAUAUAUCUUUAACCCCUAACUUGGAUACUAAGCACUCAUGUUGCUUGAUGCUUAAAGCUUUUGUCAUCAAAUCAGCAAGUUGCCCAGUUGUUCUAAUAUGCUGCAUCUGAAUCGUUCCAUCCUUGAUUUUAUCUCGUACAAAAUGACAAUCAAUUUCUAUAUGUUUCGUCCGUUCAUGAAAAACAGGAUUAGUAGCAAUUUGCAACGCUGCCUUACUAUUUGAAAAAACCAAGGAUUUAUCAAAUUGACUAGGACUAACUUCCCUCAAUAAGCCAUUCAACCAUAUAACCUCUGCUACAACCACUGCCAUACUUCUAUAUUCAGCUUCUGCUGAUGAUCGAGAGACUGUGGUUUGUUUUUUUGACUUCCAUGAAACAAGGGAUUCUCCAAUUUUAACACAGAAACCGGUCACCGACCUCCUAGACAUGGGACAUGAAGCCCAAUCAGAAUCACAAAAAGCAAUCAAUUGUGAUUUGCUUGCUGCAGAUAGUAAAAUGCCUUGGCCAGAGUUUUUCCUUAUGUAUCGUACCACCUGAAAAGCAGCUUCCAAAUGUGAUUUUUCAGUCUGUGCAUGAACUGACUCAAAUGUUGAACCGCAAACAUUAUGUUCGGUCGUGUAUUCGUCAAAUAUAGCAAUCUUCCCAACAGCCUUUGAUACAUUGUAACAUCCGUGAUUAAAUCAUCUCUAUCAACCUUUGUUUGUACCGACUCACCAUGUUCAACUGAUGUGAGCUUCUGAUUCUGCUCAAGUGGUGUACAUACUGACUUUGCUUCCCCUAAUCCUAAAUCAGCUAUCAACUCCAAAGUAUAUUUUCGCUGAUUCAAUAUAAUCCCUUUGUUCGAUCUCAUCACUUCUGUUCCAAGAAAAUACUUCAACACACCUAAAUCUUUCAUCUUAAAAUUCUGAUGCAAAAGCUGUUUCAAUUCAUUUAUCAUGCUAACACUAGUGCCUGUAAUUAACAGAUCAUCUACAUAGAUGAGUAAAACAACCAUGUUACCUUCAUCCCUUUUUGUGAACAAGGAAUAAUCAUACUUGCUUUGUACAUAUCCUCCUCUUAUUAAGGUCUCAGUAAGCUUCAAAUUCCACUGUCGAGAAGCUUGCUUCAGACCAUACAAUGACUUACGCAGGCGACAUACACGAGACUCCCCCUGGUUGCGAAAACCAACCGGAAGUUCCAUAUAAACUUCUUCGUACAAGUCCCCUUGAAGAAAAGCAUUGUAAACGUCCAUCUGAAAAAUAGGCCAAUCAUGAUGGCUGCCAUGCUGAUCACAGUCUGAACCGUGACAUGCUUAACGACCGGAGAAAAAGUAUCAUGAAAGUCAAUACCAGCCUUUUGACUAUAACUUUUACCAAAAAGACGUGCUUUAAAACGUUCCACCGAACCAUCAGAAGUGUAUUUAAUUUUGUAAACCCACUUGCAUCCAUUGGGAACAACACCAGCAGGUAAAGGAACAACCUCCCAUGUACCGUUAGCCUCCAAAGCUUGAAUCUCUUGUUGCAUAGCAUCAACCCACCGUGAAUCCAAAAUGGCCUCAUCAUAAGUUUGGGGUUCAAUUAAAGAAGAAACAUGGGCAGCAAACAAUUGAGUAUGAACAGGCAAAUGAGAAAAAGAAUAAACACUAGCAAUAGGAAACAAAACUGUGGCACAAGAAGUGAGCGACUGGUUAGAGCAAACAUAAUCCUUCAUCCAAGUAGGCGGCUUAACAGACCUUGUAGUACGACGUAAAGGGAUAUCAGUAGGCGUAGAAGACGAAGAAGGAGUAGAAGAAGAUACGGGGACACAAGGUGAAGAAGAGGGAAUAGAUAUAAAAGAGGAAGGUUCAAGUUGAAGAAAAACGGAAGUAUCAACAUCGGGAAAAGACAAAAAAGGUUUGGUAGGAAAUGUAAAAGGAAAUACCGUUUCAUGAAAGGCAACAUCUCGAUUAACAAAAAAAAGUUUUGGUUUCAAGACUGAACAAUAAGUAUCCUUUUUGCACAAGAGAAUAACCCAUGAACACAGACGGAAUAGCCUUAAGAGAAAAUUUAUCAUGGUAGCUAGGAGUAGUAGCAUAGGUGAGACAACCAAAGACCUUCAAUCGAGAAAAAUCAGGAGACUUAUGAUACAAAAAUCCAAAAGGACAUUUCUAGUUCAAGAUAGGAGUAAGGAGACGAUUAAUCAAAAAACAGGCAGUUAAAACACAUUUGCCUCAAAAUUUACUAGGCAUGUGAGACUGAAACUUUAAUGACUGAGCUACUUCAAGUAAAUGUCUGUGUUUUCGUUCAGCAACUCUAUUUUGCUGAGGAGUGUGAACACACGAAAUUUGAUGGACAAUUCCAGACAUAUUAAAAAACUCAGUACAUUCAUUCUCAACACGAGAAUUAUGAAUGGGAAAUGGAAGCUAGUUUGUUUAGCCAUUGGACAAACAGAACAUUUAUGAAUACUGUCAACAUCGGACAUUGUACAAGAAAAAUUAAGAACCUUAUUAAGUCUUGAAACCAACGCAUGACCAAGUCUAUUGUGCCAAAGAAUAAAUGAGUUUGUAGAAGCAACAACAACUAAAAGCUGUAUUCAAUUAGGACUCUAACUUUACAGAAUUAGAAGCUGUGUACAAUUAGAACUUCUAAGACUACUUAGUCCUAUUCAUUAUCGGACCCAUCAGGCUUCAAUGUGACAGGCCUGUCCAACAGCUCUUUGAAUCGGGCCAGUUCUCGUAGGCCAAAUGAUCCCCAUCUGAGCAACAGACCUCCAUUGGAUGCAUUUGGUGCGCUUGUCACGGGCUUUGAACUGCGGUCAAGAAGAUCAAACCACAAAAGUCUGUUGAGACGGAUCCAGGAUGUAAAGACCACCUCGUGCUUUAUCAAUCCCCCUCAUCUUUCCACUGCAGAGAUCCUGUAUGAGACAAAAAUGAGGAUAAAAAGAAACCAUACAAUGAAGAUCAGUGGUAAGUUUGGAAAUAGAAAGUAAAUUAUAACGAAAAUUUGGAACAUAAAGAACUUUCGUCAAUGAAAGGUUAGGCAAAACUAUGCAAGUUCCAAUAUGAGUGACUGAGACUGAGGAGCCAUUUGGAAGUCGAACACUUGGUGAUCCUAAUGCACAAGCAACAGGAGAUUCCAAAAAAUGAAGAUCCGACAAUAUAUGCUCAGUAGCCCCAGUAUCUAUGAUCCAUUUGUUACCAAUAUCCACCAUACCUGCUAUACUGGCAGCAGCUUCAAUCGCAGCAGGUUCUUUGUUCAACAAAUGCCUGAUUUGAUUAUACUGCUCCUGUGUAAAUACUGGCGCUUGUGAACGAGACCCACGGGAAUCCAUUACGUCACUACUACAAGAAGAAUCAGGAGCAGAAACAUUAUUUACUGCAGAAGCAGAAUUAUUGUUCACCUUCCUUUUUGUAAACUUGAUAACCAAUUUACUUGUAACAGGUCCCUUGCAGUGAUCACAAAUGCCAGUAAAUAUUUUUUUCUGUACCAUCUGAACUGAAGAGAAAGGAACCAAAUCAUCUCCAAUAUUACUAGAACUAUGCUUUCUCUGCCACUCCUCUUGCAUAAUCAUCGAAUACGCAUGAUUAACAGACGAUAACGGACUCAUCAAUAAAAUCUGAUUACGUAUAGCACUAUAUGAUUCAUUUAAUCCCAUAAGAAAAUGAAAUAAAUGCUGCUGUGCAACAUGAGUAUUGUUCUGCCUAGAUUGAACACAUCCACAAGAAGAUGGAGGUACAAGGGCAUCAUACUAAUCCCAAAGUAACCUCAACUUAGUAAAAUAGGCAGAUAUAGAAACUGUACAUUGAGAAUAUGUAGUAAUCUCACGAUGUAAGAGAUAAAUUCUUGAACCAUCGAUUUUGUGGAACCGCUCACUAAGAUCAUUCCAUACUGCCGCUGCACUGGACGCAAAAACAAUCCCUGCAGAAAGCUCUUUACUAACGGUAUUCAAAAUCCAAGAAAGAAUAAUCGCAUUACAUCGCUCCCACUGAUGACCCAUUUCCUCCGGUACCAUAUCUUUAGAGCAGGUGCCAUCCACAAACCCCAAUUUAUUCUUCGCCAGCAACGUAAUUCUCAUCGUCCGACUCCAGACAUUGUAAUUCUUAACACCAAGUAACUGAUGGGCUACUAACAAAGUGCCCAGAGUAUCCGAAGGAUGAAGAUAACAUGGAUGAUUGAAGUCAAUAACAGAGUCGGAAAGAUUCAUCACCUCUGUUGCUGAAAGAACAAAAAACCAAGAGACCGACAAACAAAACCGUCGUAGACACAAAAAAAUUGAAACAAAAGAACGCCCUAGAUUGCCAGCCCAAUUCUACCGAAUCAAUCGAAUUUGGGCUACAAACACCAGCCCAGUUAACUAUUUUAUGAAACUUAAAAAAGCUAUUAUGUAAAAGAAAGCCACUGUCUAAUCAUACCAGCAAAACAAAUAAGAAAACCAACUAGAACAGCAACCGACUAGCAAGAAAUCAUCGGAAAAAACAAUUGCCGUAGCUCUGAUACCAUGUUGAAAUGAUCACUCUCAUACAUCCUUCAAUACUAAUAGUAUGUUUACAUUUAUAGACUUUUGUUUAACAAACUAACUUGCUUAUACCUAACUCUGCUAACUACUAACUGUCUUAGCUUCUCAACAAUGAGAAACCCUUCUCUAGCUAUGGGGGAGAAACAGAUUCAAAGACAUUGGUGGGUCGUGCUUGUGAAUGCAGAAGAAUUAGAUGAGUUCUCGAACAACUGCGGACAUCUCCUUCAAGCCAUUGGUACUGCAGACAGUUCCAUAGUUUUCAGUAGUCCAAAGUUGCAGUUCCAAAAUACCCGUAGUAAGAGUUAAUAUUGGGAGGAUUGGCGACCGACUUUCGUGUUUCUAAAAUUGCUGUUCCCUCCAUUGAUAGUAUUUAUGUUGUCUUGUUUGUGUUCUUUGAUGUUCCUGUUUGUAAAUGGCGGAGGCCUGUCUGUUUGUUUGUAAGCAGCUGUAUCAUUGUGUUGGUAAAACGGCUGUAAACCUAUCGUGUUCUUUUUUGUUCAAUGAGCUUAUAUACUUAAUUUACGUGAAAAGGGCGGAUUCAGUUUAUGUUUUUGUACCAUAAUAAUAAUAAUAAUAAUAAUAAACGAAUCUUUAUGCAUG
rnacentral:lncRNA from 1 species